rnacentral:rRNA from 1 species
AGAUUGAACGCUGGCGGCAUGCCUUACACAUGCAAGUCGAACGGUAACAGGUUAAGCUGACGAGUGGCGAACGGGUGAGUAAUAUAUCGGAACGUGCCCAGUAGUGGGGGAUAGCCCGGCGAAAGCCGGAUUAAUACCGCAUACGACCUACGGGUGAAAGCGGGGGAUCGCAAGACCUCGCGCUAUUGGAGCGGCCGAUAUCAGAUUAGCUAGUUGGUGGGGUAAAAGCUCACCAAGGCGACGAUCUGUA